GUUAUGUAAGUGUACCAAGUAGCUUUUGUAUUUUCAGAAAAAUAAGAAGAGAGAUUGUGGAAUGAAAUUCUUGUUUACUCUACGUGCAUUCGCCUAAAAUAUCAAAAAAUAAGGGAAAGAACAGAUGAAACAAAUAUCUUAUUGGUUACUCUACGUGCAUAUACCUAAAUUACCAAUAAUUGGAGUUUGGUAGUCUACGUGCUUAAUUAGAACUUAUCAAAAAAUAAGGAGAGAGAUUGUGAAAUGAAAUUCUUGUUUACUCUACGUGCAUUUGCCUAAAAUAUCAAAAAAUAAGGGAAAGAACAGAUGAAACAAACAUCUUAUUGGUUACUCUCCGUGCAUAUACCUAAAUUACCAAUUAUUGAAGUUGGUUAGUCUACGUGCUUAAGUUGAAAUUGUCAAAAAAUAAUGGAACGAACAGAUGAAAUGAAUUUCUUGUUCUACAUGCAUCUGCUUAAAUUGUCGGAAAAUCAGUGAGAUUUUCACACCAAAA